AAGAAUGGAAUACAAUAUCCUAGAUGUCAUGUGACCAGGGAAGAGGAUGGUAGGACUACUGGGUUAUCUCUCCUUUUCAUCUACUGUAGAAUGUCAAGAUGGAUAGACUUCAUCUCUUCCAAUAGUGUGCAUGCUUGUUGCAAAGAUAUCACAUCUCAAGAACCAACAGCCAGGUUAAAGGAGCCUCAGAGAUAAGGAUAUGAAUUGAUGCUAAACUGUUAUCUACCACUUGAUUCACAGUUUCUGGAUUCCUGACUCAGCUACUGAUUAGGGCUUUCAGCCAUGAAACUGCCUGCCAACACCCUUGGUGAACAACACUCCAUGUUUUACACCUUACUUGAAGACUGGAACUUGAGGACUGGCCUGCAGAAUAACAUUACCAUCAUAGUCAUGUCACAGAUUUUCACAAUUUUAAAGUAUGGGUGGAAUGAACCUGAGCCAAGGAGA